rnacentral:rRNA from 1 species
GACGAACGCUGGCGGCGUGCCUAAUACAUGCAAGUCGAGCGGACAGACGGGAGCUUGCUCCCUGAUGUUAGCGGCGGACGGGUGAGUAACACGUGGGUAACCUGCCUGUAAGACUGGGAUAACUCCGGGAAACCGGGGCUAAUACCGGAUGGUUGUCUGAACCGCAUGGUUCGGACAUGAAAGGUGGCUUCGGCUACCACUUACAGAUGGACCCGAGGCGCGUUAGCUAGGUGGUGAGGUAACGGCUCAACAAGGCAACGAUGCGUAGCCGGCCUGAGAGGGUGGUCGGCCACACUGGGAAUGAGACACGGCCCAGACUCCUAAGGGAGGCAGCAGGAGGGAAACUUCCGACAAGGACGAAAGUCUGACGGAGCAACGCCGCGGGAGUGAUGAAGGGUUUCGGAUCGUAAAGCUCUGUUGUUAGGGAAGAAAAAGCGGCGUUCAAAUAGGGCGGCACCUUGACGGUACCUAAACAGAAAGCCACGGCUAACUACGUG